AACGAACGCUGGCGGCAUGCCUAACACAUGCAAGUCGAACGAGACCUUCGGGUCUAGUGGCGCACGGGUGCGUAGCGCGUGGGAACCUGCCCUUAGGUUCGGAAUAACUCCCCGAAAGGGGUGCUAAUACCGGAUAAUGUCUUCGGACCAAAGAUUUAUCGCCUUUGGAUGGGCCCGCGUUGGAUUAGCUAGUUGGUAGGGUAAAAGCCUACCAAGGCGACGAUCCAUAGCUGGUCUGAGAGGAUGAUCAGCCACACUGGGACUGAGACACGGCCCAGACUCCUACGGGAGGCAGCAGUGGGGAAUAUUGGACAAUGGGCGAAAGCCUGAUACAGCAAUGCCGCGUGAGUGAUGAAGGCCUUAGGGUUGUAAAGCUCUUUUACCCGGGAUGAUAAUGACAGUACCGGGAGAAUAAGCUCCGGCUAACUCCGUG
rnacentral:rRNA from 1 species